rnacentral:rRNA from 1 species
GACGAACGCUGGCGGCACGCUUAACACAUGCAAGUCGAACGAGAGAAGAGAAGCUUGCUUUUCUGAUCUAGUGGCGGACGGGUGAGUAACACGUGAGCAAUCUGCCUUUCAGAGGGGGAUACCGAUUGGAAACGAUCGUUAAUACCGCAUAAUAUAAUUGAACCGCAUGAUUUGAUUAUCAAAGAUUUAUCGCUGAAAGAUGAGCUCGCGUCUGAUUAGCUAGUUGGUAAGGUAACGGCUUACCAAGGCGACGAUCAGUAGCCGGACUGAGAGGUUGAUCGGCCACAUUGGGACUGAGACACGGCCCAGACUCCUACGGGAGGCAGCAGUGGGGAAUAUUGCACAAUGGAGGAAACUCUGAUGCAGCGAUGCCGCGUGAGGGAAGAAGGUUUUAGGAUUGUAAACCUCUGUCUUCAGGGACGAAAA